rnacentral:rRNA from 1 species
CCCUUAGAUGUCCUGGGCCGCACGCGCGCUACACUGAUACAAUCAACAAGCACCCAACCUUGGUCGAGAGGCCUGGGUAAUCUUGUGAAACUGUAUCGUGAUGGGGAUAGAUGCUUGUAAUUUUUCAUCUUCAACGAGGAAUUCCUAGUAAACGCGAGUCAUCAGCUUGCAUUGAUUACGUCCCUGCCCUUUGUACACACCGCCCGUCGCACCUACCGAUUGGAUGGUCCGGUGAAGCUCAAGGAUCGGCCUGGCGCUUCGGUGCUGGGCCGAGAGGUGAUCUAAACCUUACCAUCUAGAGGAAGGUGAAGUCGUAACA